GGCCGCCGUGGCUUAGCCCGGUUAAAGCGGCUGAUUCGUAAUCAGCAGUUCAUGGGUUCGAAUCCCAUCGGCGGCUU
rnacentral:tRNA from 1 species